rnacentral:lncRNA from 1 species
AUAUGUAUGAGCUUUAGAUGAACAAUUGUUUAAACUGGGGUUGUUACUAUAUGAACAGGUUUUGAAAAAUGAUAGAGAAAAUGAGUUCUUAUUAUCUGCUCACAGAACAAGUAUUUUAGUUUUUGUUAUAUAUUAUACAAAAAAAAAGCGAAAACUACCUAACAGGUUUCUUUUGCCAAAGAGGCAAAAAACGAAAAAGAAACAGCAUUUCUAUUUUCAGCUUUCAAAAGCAGAAAACUGACAGUGAUGCUAAAUGCAACUUAAGUUAUAAGUAUUUUGUAACAUUUAGGAUUUUUUUGCCAAUGCUUCUAAUCUCCUUCAUACCCUAAACCUAUUAAGAGCUCUAUACAUCGAAUCCUGCUCAAGCUUCUCUUUUAGGAAAUGAAGGUCUCGCGAGUCACUCAUUGAACUUCAGACCAUACAUUUACUUUGUUCUUAAAAUGAUACUUUACCUCCUUUUGUAUAGAACA